UACGUAGGGUGCAAGCGUUAAUCGGAAUUACUGGGCGUAAAGGGCGCGUAGGCGGCGUGUCAAGUCAGGCGUGAAAGCCCCGGGCUCAACCUGGGAACCGCGCUUGAGACUGGCAUGCUCGAGUUCGGGAGAGGAUGGUGGAAUUCCCAGUGUAGAGGUGAAAUUCGUAGAUAUUGGGGAAGAACACCGAUGGCGAAGGCAGCCAUCUGGACCGACACUGACGCUGAGGCGCGAAAAGCGUGGGGAGCAAAC
rnacentral:rRNA from 1 species